CUUUUGAUGAGGCCAUUGCAGAACUUGAUACACUGAAUGAAGACUCAUACAAAGACAGCACCCUCAUCAUGCAGUUGCUUAGAGACAACCUAACACUAUGGACAUCAGACAGUGCAGGAGAAGAAUGUGAUGCCGCAGAAGGGGCUGAAAACUAAA